UGCUGUGUGAGGAGUGCUG
rnacentral:miRNA from 1 species